GCCGCCUUAGCUCAGUUGGCCAGAGCAGUCCCUUCGUAAGGGAAAGGUCCCCGGUUCGAAUCCGGGAGGCGGCU
rnacentral:tRNA from 1 species